rnacentral:rRNA from 1 species
GACAGAGGGUGCAAACGUUGCUCGGAAUCACUGGGCGUAAAGGGCGUGUAGGCGGGAAGGAUAGUCAGAUGUGAAAGCCCUGGGCUCAACCCAGGAACUGCAUUUGAAACUCCCUUUCUUGAGUGUCGGAGAGGAAAGCGGAAUUCCUGGUGUAGAGGUGAAAUUCGUAGAUAUCGGGAGGAACACCAGUGGCGAAGGCGGCGAUCUGGGUCGAUACUGACGCUGAGGUGCGAAAGCGUGGGGAGCAAACAGG